GAUCCUGGCUUAGGAUGAACGCUGGCGGCGUGCUUAACACAUGCAAGUCGAGCGAAGACAUAAAAACAGAUUUCUUCGGAAUGAAAUUUUAUGACUGAGCGGCGGACGGGUGAGUAACGCGUGGGUGACCUGCCUCAUACAGGGGGAUAACAGACAGAAAUGUCUGCUAAUACCGCAUAAGCGCACGGUGCUGCAUGGCACAGUGUGAAAAACUCCGGUGGUAUGAGAUGGACCCGCGUCUGAUUAGCUAGUUGGUAAGGUAACGGCUUACCAAGGCGACAAUCAGUAGCCGGCCUGAGAGGGUGAACGGCCACAUUGGGACUGAGACACGGCCCAAACUCCUACGGGAGGCAGCAGUGGGGAAUAUUGCACAAUGGGGGAAACCCUGAAUGCAGCGACGCCGCGUGAAGGAAGAAGUAUUUCGGUAUGUAAACUUCUAUCAGCAGGGAAGAAAAUGACGGUACCUGACUAAGAAGCCCCGGCUAACUACGUGCCAGCCGCGGC
rnacentral:rRNA from 1 species